rnacentral:tRNA from 1 species
CAGAGGGUAGUUUAUAAAAAUAUUAGUUUUGGGGACUAAAGAUAGGGCAAAAGCUUUAUCUCUGA